rnacentral:lncRNA from 1 species
CUGUUCCUGCGUUAGUUUGCUAAGGAUAAUGGCCAUUAUCUUAGCCAUUUGAAAAUAAUGAUUUAACCUCUCUCACCUUCAUUGUCAUUUUAGAAGAAACUACCAUUUGGUGUCCUGCUGAGACAAGAAAGAGAUGCAAUCAUUCCCUUGCAUAUGGUCCGUAUGAAGACGGGAUCAUUACAGGAAAGGUGAAGGAGAUACAGUCAUUAUGCUCUAUAUACACCCAUUUUUAUGGCUAGCGGCUGAAGAUGGGAUGCUUUCUUUGCUGGAAGACCUAUUACCUGUUAGGUUGCAAAAGAUGUGAUCAUCUUCCUAAACAAUAAUUUAGAGUCCCAUAACAAUUUUAAGUGUGCUGUUCAUGAAAAUUUGAAUACAUUGUAUUGGGAAUAUAAUGGAAGUGAGAUGCCUCAUGUCGUGAGAAAAUCUGACAUAAACUCCUUAAGCAUGAGAGGCCAUGUGGGUAUGGAAGCCCUGAAAGGGAGGAAAAAACAGCCAGACCCUAGCUGUUCCAGUCAUCCCAACUGAGGUGCCAGACUUGUGAUUGAGGCCAUCUUGCAUCAUCUAGGCCUAGUAGAGCUGCCAACUGACUGCAGACACAUGAGUCAAUCCAGCUAAUGCCACAUGGAGCAGAGACAAGCCGCCCAGCUGAGCCCAGUCCAGAUGACAGAAUCAUGAGCAAAUAAGGUUGUUGUUCUUUUAAGCCACUAAAUUUUCGGGUGAUUUGUUACACAGUAAUAAAUAACUGAAACAACUAUG